AGACUGUGGGGGUGUGGGCAAUAUGGCCCAUAUCUGGUGGUUCUGCCCUAAAUUAACUAAAUAUUGGAAAAUGAUUCAUGAUCUAAUUAUUAAAGUGGACAGAACCAUUAGCAUUUUAACUUCGGAACUAGCCUUAUUUAAAAAACUCCCGGAGUCCGUUAAUAGAGCAGAUAAAAUAAUCAUAGGCCACAUUCUGAUCGCUGCUACAUCC